GGUUCCGUGGUGUAGGGGUUAACAUGCCUGCCUGUCACGCAGGAGAUCGCGGGUUCAAAUCCCGUUGGGACCG
rnacentral:tRNA from 1 species